rnacentral:rRNA from 1 species
AUUGAACGCUGGCGGCAGGCCUAACACAUGCAAGUCGAGCGGUAGCACAGAGAGCUUGCUCUCGGGUGACGAGCGGCGGACGGGUGAGUAAUGUCUGGGAAACUGCCUGAUGGAGGGGGAUAACUACUGGAAACGGUAGCUAAUACCGCAUAACGUCGCAAGACCAAAGUGGGGGACCUUCGGGCCUCAUGCCAUCAGAUGUGCCCAGAUGGGAUUAGCUAGUAGGUGGGGUAACGGCUCACCUAGGCGACGAUCCCUAGCUGGUCUGAGAGGAUGACCAGCCACACUGGAACUGAGACACGGUCCAGACUCCUACGGGAGGCAGCAGUGGGGAAUAUUGCACAAUGGGCGCAAGCCUGAUGCAGCCAUGCCGCGUGUGUGAAGAAGGCCUUCGGGUUGUAAAGCACUUUCAGCGGGGAGGAAGGCGGUGAGGUUAAUAACCUCAUCGAUUGACGUUACCCGCAGAAGAAGCACCGGCUAACUCCGUGCCAGCAGCCGCGGUAAUACGGAGGGUGCAAGCGUUAAUCGGAAUUACUGGGCGUAAAGCGCACGCAGGCGGUCUGUCAAGUCGGAUGUGAAAUCCCCGGGCUCAACCUGGGAACUGCAUUCGAAACUGGCGGGCUAGAGUCUUGUAGAGGGGGGUAGAAUUCCAGGUGUAGCGGUGAAAUGCGUAGAGAUCUGGAGGAAUACCGGUGGCGAAGGCGGCCCCCUGCACAAAGACUGACGCUCAGGUGCGAAAGCGUGGGGAGCAAACAGGAUUAGAUACCCUGGUAGUCCACGCCGUAAACGAUGUCGAUUUGGAGGUUGUGCCCUUGAGGCGUGGCUUCCGGAGCUAACGCGUUAAAUCGACCGCCUGGGGAGUACGGCCGCAAGGUUAAAACUCAAAUGAAUUGACGGGGGCCCGCACAAGCGGUGGAGCAUGUGGUUUAAUUCGAUGCAACGCGAAGAACCUUACCUGGUCUUGACAUCCACAGAACUUUCCAGAGAUGGAUUGGUGCCUUCGGGAACUGUGAGACAGGUGCUGCAUGGCUGUCGUCAGCUCGUGUUGUGAAAUGUUGGGUUAAGUCCCGCAACGAGCGCAACCCUUAUCCUUUGUUGCCAGCGGUCCGGCCGGGAACUCAAAGGAGACUGCCAGUGAUAAACUGGAGGAAGGUGGGGAUGACGUCAAGUCAUCAUGGCCCUUACGACCAGGGCUACACACGUGCUACAAUGGCAUAUACAAAGAGAAGCGACCUCGCGAGAGCAAGCGGACCUCAUAAAGUAUGUCGUAGUCCGGAUUGGAGUCUGCAACUCGACUCCAUGAAGUCGGAAUCGCUAGUAAUCGUAGAUCAGAAUGCUACGGUGAAUACGUUCCCGGGCCUUGUACACACCGCCCGUCACACCAUGGGAGUGGGUUGCAAAAGAAGUAGGUAGCUUAACCUUCGGGAGGGCGCUUACCACUUUGUGAUUCAUGACUGGGGUGAAGU